rnacentral:misc_RNA from 1 species
GAAAAUAGCCAGCCUGGCUGGUAUAUAAUUCUAUCCACCUUGUGUGCAAACAAUGGAAAAGAAAGAGAGAAUAUUGGAUGCUUUUUUGUAUCCAACCUCUCUAAAGUUUUACAAACUCCAUCAAAUUUUGAAAUAAAACUAUUUUUUUUAAUAAAAAAUAUUAUA